UACGAAGGGGGCUAGCGUUGCUCGGAAUUACUGGGCGUAAAGGGCGCGUAGGCGGCACUGUUAGUCAGGCGUGAAAGUCCUGGGCUCAACCUGGGAACUGCGCUUGAUACGGCAGAGCUAGAGGAUGGAAGAGGGUCGCGGAAUUCCCAGUGUAGAGGUGAAAUUCGUAGAUAUUGGGAAGAACACCGGUGGCGAAGGCGGCCUGCUGGGCAGUAGCUGACGCUGAUGCGCGACAGCGUGGGGAGCAAACAGG
rnacentral:rRNA from 1 species